rnacentral:tRNA from 1 species
GCGAGAAUAGCUCAGUGGUAGAGCAUCAGCUUCCCAAGCUGAGGGUCGCGGGUUCGAUCCCCGUUUCUCGCU